UACGUAGGGUGCAAGCGUUGUCCGGAAUUAUUGGGCGUAAAGAGCUCGUAGGCGGUUUGUCGCGUCGGCUGUGAAAACUCGGGGCUCAACCCCGAGCCUGCAGUCGAUACGGGCAGACUAGAGUGCGGUAGGGGAGACUGGAAUUCCUGGUGUAGCGGUGAAAUGCGCAGAUAUCAGGAGGAACACCGGUGGCGAAGGCAGCCUCCUGGGCCAGCACUGACGCUCAUGCACGAAAGCGUGGGGAGCAAACAGG
rnacentral:rRNA from 1 species